rnacentral:rRNA from 1 species
GUUAGGAAUAUUGGACAAUGGGCGCAAGCCUGAUCCAGCCAUGCCGCGUGAGUGAUGAAGGCCUCCGGGUUGUAAAGCUCUUUAGCCGAUGAUUAUAAUGACUGUAGUCGGAAAAUAAGCCCCGGCUAACUUCGUGCCAGCAGCCGCGGUAAUACGAAGGGGGCGAGCGUUAUUCGGAAUCACUGGGCGUAAAGCGUGCGUAGGCGGCUUUGCAAGUUGGGAGUGAAAGCCCAGGGCUCAACCCUGGAAUUGCUCUCAAAACUGCAAGGCUCGAAUUCGGGAGAGGAUAGCGGAAUUGUCAGUGUAGCAGUGAAAUGCGUAGAUAUUGACAGGAACACCAGUGGCGUAAGCGGCUAUCUGGACCGAUAUUGACGCUGAGGCACGAAAGCGUGGGGAUCAAACAGGAUUAGAAACCCCAGUAGUCC